UAAAACGUAGGAUCCGAGCGUUAUCCGAAUUCACUGGGCGUAAAGCGCGAGUAGGCGGCCGGAUAAGUUGGAUGUAAAAUCUCCCGGCUCAACUGGGAGAGGACGUACAAGACUGUUUGGCUAGAGGGCGAUAGAGGGAGGCGGAAUUCCCGGUGUAGUGGUGAAAUGCGUAGAUAUCGGGAGGAACACCAGAGGCGAAGGCGGCUUCCUGGAUCGUACCUGACGCUGAGAUGCGAAAGCUAGGGGAGCAAACGGG
rnacentral:rRNA from 1 species